GCCCUUUUCCGGUUGAUCCUGCCGGAGGCUAUUGCUAUCGGUGUCCGAUUUAGCCAUGCUAGUUGCACGUUUAACGUAGCAAACUGCUCAGUAACACGUGGCCAAACUGCCCUAUGGACUGGGAUAACCUCGGGAAACUGAGGCUAAUCCCGGAUAGCACAUCCGUCCUGGAACUGGAGGAUGUGUGAAACGUUCCGGCGCCAUAGGGUGUGGCUGCGGCCGAUUAGGUAGACGGUGGGGUAACGGCCCACCGUGCCGAUAAUCGGUACGGGUCAUGAGAGUGAGAGCCCGGAGACGGACUCUGAGACACGAGUCCGGGCCCUACGGGGCGCAGCAGGCGCGAAACCUUUACACUGCACGAUAGUGCGAUAGGGGGACACCGAGUGCGAGGGCAUAGAGCCCUCGCUUUUGUAGACCGUAAGGAGGUCUACGAAUAAGGGCUGGGCAAGACCGGUGCCAGCCGCCGCGGUAACACCGGCAGCCCGAGUGAUGGCCGAUAUUAUUGGGCCUAAAGCGUCCGUAGCUGGCCGCGCAAGUUCGUCGGGAAAUCCACUCGCUUAACGAGUGGGCGUCCGGCGAAAACUGUGCGGCUUGGGACCGGAAGAUCCAAGGGGUACGUCCGGGGUAGGAGUGAAAUCCCGUAAUCCUGGACGGACCACCGAUGGCGAAAGCACCUUGGAAGGACGGAUCCGACAGUGAGGGACGAAAGCUAGGGUCUCGAACCGGAUUAGAUACCCGGGUAGUCCUAGCCGUAAACGAUGCUCGCUA
rnacentral:rRNA from 1 species